ensembl:lncRNA
GGGAACUCCUCAAAUUUUUCUUGAUUUAAGUUUCUCUAUGAUACAUCUAGUUACUGAAGGAUGGGGGGACAUGAAUAAAGGCUGUUGGUCUCUAGAUUGUUUCUGGAGCCAGGACCCUGACCUGAUCAUGCCCACUGGAAUAAGAGCAUCAUGGUUUAAAUACCAUAUCCAUCCCUGUUAAACUUCCCCUUUACCGCUCUCUCUUUUCUGAUGACUAUCCAGAAAGUCCUCACGUACUUAACAGGUAUGGCUUCUUGCUGACAUCAGAUACUGGGAGCUAAAUUUAUCAUGAGCUAAAGAUACCUUGAUUCUCCAAACCAUCGCAGUGUCAUUUGUUCUCAAUUUACUUUAUAGCCAACUUCUGAUUACACAGAGAAGAUCAUCUGAUUACUGAGCAGUUAAAUAAGGGCACUUCACUCUUCUCCACAGCUAAUUCUCCUCUAAAAGGAGUAGAGGGAGGUUGGAUUUGAGUAACUAAAAUAGGCAGCUGCCCAGGUGAUAUAAUCUGAGAUAACUGGAGAAAAAAUGUUGCUCUCCAUCCUUAGAGAAGCUUUCUAUAUGAUCCUGGAAUAUUUUUCUUUCUGAUCUUUAAGGAGUCCUUUUAAAAUUUACCCCAAACUGGGGAAACACUUUUAACACUUGGGCAUGAGAGUUAUGAUCAGGGCACACUGGCAGUCUAUGGAGGCCUUCAGGCAGGAAGAGUGUGUAUAUUAGGAAAAGGUAUUUUUCUGAUGCAUCCCCUUAUCCACUCACAUGGUGCCUUUGUGCAGAAUACACUACAGAACUGUACUCAGCAGCAAAACCCAAGUGAAUUGGUUAUACAAGUAGGAAAGGAGGGAGGAGAGUGCCAGUGUGCUGGCCCUGGGCUUCCCUAUCUGGUAGCAAACAAAACAAAACAAAACAAAAACACAAAACCUGAUAAUAGUGCCAAUCUAUGUAAACUGUGACUUAUAAUGCUGUUUGAAUUACCUGAGUUGAGGCAAUACUUUCAUCUGUAAAGAUAAUCAAAUGUGACUACAUCUGGAAAUGCCAUGUAGAAAAACAAAACAAAGAAAAACAAUAGUAAAAAUGGGUUUACACACCAACCAGUAUCAUAAAUGUCAUACACAGUAUUAUUACAGUUUAAUAUCCUUUUAUUUUAAAAGGCUGAGGGCAUGGCAAUGUAAUUAAAAACAUUUACAGUUUUUCUUAUGUGUCCUUUAUAAAAAGGUGGGUUUCUGGAUACCAGAAGAAAAUAAUAAUCUUUGGCAUCUUCCAAAGUGAUCCAGCCCUCAAAGGCUGAUUGCUUAUAGUAGCCAUCUCACCAUUCAGGGAAUAUGACACAAAAAUGACUAAAUUUGGGAUUUUUUUUUAGUUUUCAAAUUGAAACCUCAGAACUGGGGUACAGCAGAAAUGCUCUAGCUUCUUUACCACCAUCUCUGUGUUUCUCUUUAAUAUCAGUGGAUCUGCUCAGCAUUUGUCACUUGUUUGGGCCCCUGAAUUUCUGUAUGGUAUGGCCCUGAGGUUAGUCCUGGCAAGUGGUUUUCACUGCCAACAUUUUUACAAACAGGGGAAAGAAAUAACCUGCCAGCUCAUUUCGCAGGGGGUUUCUUCACUGGCCUCAGCCUCAACUCUGUGACACAAGGCACAGGUUAGAUGCUGACAGUGGAAGGUCUUUAUUUUCUCUGUCAGCUCCCAGAAAAUUUCAACCACACAUGAAAUAAUGCCUUGUUUAAAUAGCACUUGGACAUGGUUCAUAUUGUUUUCAAAAUGUUCUACCCGCAUCAUUCCUACAAUCAAGGGAAAUGUUGGGCUUGAUAAGAGAGAGGAGGAAAAGUAAAUUUCAAUAACAUUUUAUUGGAAGCUGAAUCCCCAGCUGGGAACUGAAUUUACAAUACAAGAAAGCAGAAGGUAAAUAUACUGAAGUGAGGCUUUGUUAGCAGUUCUGUCUGCUUUUUCAGAAUAGCUUAAUUGAAGUCCUACCAAGAUAGAAAUGAUCACUUAGCAAUCCACAUUUGAAAGUCACUUAAUGGAGCAGCUCAAUUCAUAGUGGAACUAACUUUUUAAAAUAAAAAAGCAAUGACUAAGAAUUAUUAUGGACAGAUGACAAAAAUGGAUUCUCUUAUAGCUGCUUAUUUCUCACAUUUUGAUGAAAUACAGACUUCAGAAUCUCAGGGUGGAAGGGUGGAAGGCACUGCACUUCAGACUAACAAGGGGCAAAGUUCUAGAUUCUUGGUUUCCUCUUCUCUGUGACCCUAAUACUUGCAGACACACUAACACACAGUAAGUGCUUAAUAAAUGAAAAUAAUAAUAAUAGAUAAAUAACAUAAUGCAGAAUGUAUUUCAAACUUACUUCCUUUUCAAAAUGAAAACCAACAGGGUGGAGUACGAAACUGAUACACAUAUACAUGAAAAUGCAUUUGGUCCUGUACAUAUUGACUAUAAGCAUAGAUCUUGUUUGGUCAAGUCAGUUUCCUAGCUUAGAAAAGUAGUUCAAGAGAAUGAGACUGUUGGCAGAGAUUGAAACAAUCUGUAAUUGUCAAUUAUAGUUAUGACUUUUCUCAAUUAGUUAAUAUUUCUACAUAUUAAUGGCCCAUGUCCUUUGUAGAUAACAUAGCAAUAUAAAGAUGAAAAACACAGAAUUCUAUAGAGAAUAUUUUCAGAAGAAUGAUUGAAAAUAUUACACAUUAAAUAUAUAUACAUUUCAUUUUUGAUACUCAUCUGUAUCAUAGUCCAAUCUCUGCCAUUACCUGGAUGAUCUAGAGAAAAUCAUACAAUAUCUCUAACGCUUAGUUUUUUCCUAUGAAGAGAAUAAAUAGCUUCAUAGUCCACUUCAACAUAUUCUAUAUUAUUCUAGAAUAUUCUACCCUGUGGCUUCUAUUUGCUUCUUCAUUCUCUUUAUUCUUCAUAUGAGUUCCCCUGUAUUUCAGCUACAUUUGCCAUCAUUGACACUUCAUUGUUUCUUGAACCCGAUCUUCCUUGGUUUGUUUCCGUAAAAGAUGUUUUCUCCAUCUUUUUCUAAAGACUCCUGUUUCUUUUAUUGCUUCCUCUGCAUACAGGUCCUAACACUCAACUCUGACUCUCUGUGAUUCUAUCUCUGGACUGUCUCCCUUAAAAUGCUAAUCAGUCUCACAUAACACUUCUUUGCUAAUCACUUUUACCUUUCUUCCUUGGUCUCCUCUGAGUAAACUAGCCUUCACUGAUUGCCCUCUCCUUUGAACUCCAGCAGCACCUAUUGACAAUUCUCCACAAUGAAAACUCAGUUAUACAGCAUUCUGUGCCAUUACAUAUAAGCCAAGUGCAUCUC